UAAAAAGGAAAGGUUUCCGUCAGGGCCCGUGGUUCUAGGAGGCCGCAGCCAGAUGCUGCCAACUUUUAAUGACCGUUCGGUACGACCAAAGCAGAAAAGGACAAUCAACAGGAGGGGCAGCCUGAAGGAAGCUUCCAGCUGCAGGGUAGAGGAAAUGUGCUGUCUGGGGUUGCCCAGGACCUCCCCCGGCCACGAUAACCACAGCAGGAGCCGCAGCCACGGCGGCCGACCUCGGACCAUUGAGCAAGAGACCAGGAGGCACGUUUCCUUGCUUGCUCUAUUCGAAGCAGACUUACUCUCGCCUCUGAUGUGGUUGGCGAGAGACGAGGACAGCAUGACCACUGGGCACCGCACACUACAGAGGUCAGCUUGCAAGGACAGCAGGACGGCAGUGAUGUGGCCGUGACUAGUUGUCAAGUGAGUGGAGAAAAAAUCGGGAAGGAGGGGGGAAGUGGCAGGCAGGGCGAUGGAGGAGGGGGACCGGGAAGAGAAAAGUCCUGUCCUUCUGAUGAAAUAUUCAGUGCUGUCGGUGCUGUUCCAUAGGCUGUUCCCCCCAGGGGGUGUAUUUCUGGAUCAUUCUUCAGGCCCCUUGUAGGCAACUGGAGCACCUUGUCUAAUAGAUCGGCGGUGCUCAUCAGAGACAUCUGUGAUGCGUUACCAGUGGUUUCAUGUGGAGGGCACUGGCGGGGCCAGGCGGGUUUUAUUGUGUGUCGGCAUCACGCACGUGCACGCACGUGUGCAAGC
rnacentral:lncRNA from 1 species